UUACAAUUUUAUGUAACUAAAAUUCGACAAAGCAAUUAUCUUUACAGCGGGUUUACUGUGUGCAUGGGUCAUAAGGUCUGGGUUGGCUGAUGUGCCUUCUUUAACAUUGUACAUUUCCUUCAUUUUUAUCAGCCUAUUUCACAUGACAAAAACAGAAUAUACUGAUAUCUAACCACCUGAAACCAGCAUCGUUUGCCGAGAUACUCGCUAGUUCUCGAUUUCUCUUGAAAGAGGAUGUCUGUUUGCCAUUCUAGUUUAACAGGACGUGAAGAAAGCUGUUAACAGCGUAGCCUGCUGUCUGUGCCGGCCAGAAAAGAGAACUCGUGAUGGCUGCUUCUGGCCUCAUCAAAAGCAACACUGCUGACUCGUCACUCUAGAAGAACCCAAAGAUGAGAAGUGCUGGAGACCGGAGAAGAUUGAGAAGCUCAUUGCACGGCUACAGUGGGAGUUGGUACGGCCAAAGGCUUAUAUUUCCAAGAGUCUGGAUGAGGCUAACCAAGGUGUUCCCCACCUGAGCUGUCGAGGGAGCACCAGGUUGCCAGUGCCACCGCCAUGGACACCAUUUUGCUGGUCUGCCUGGGAACCCUGCUUGGGAACGGUGGGCCAAAACCACGGGGUUGGAGAUUCACCAUGGUCUACCUCACCACGCUCACUGGAGAGCGUGCCCAAGAUGUGGGGGAGAAGAUCACUGCAGAGGUGAGAGGAUGGAGGAAGAGGAAUUGAAAUUGCUCUGAAAAAGACUAAAAUAUACCUCUCGGACACGGGUGUGUUAUUAUGACUCGACAUGCGUAUCUACAGAGGAGAAAGGCCAGGAUGUGCCCCCCUCCGAGACGUGAAGGAAACAUGUGACAUCAGUCUGCACUGAUGGCUGGAAGGCAAGAGGCAGUGCUCAUGAUGUCGGAUACGCCCCAGAUUCCUGGAACUCAAGUGAGAUGGGUACAACUCUCAGGACCUUGUAGCAUUAUCUCUCAGAGAUUGACUUAACCACUGCACAAAUGGGAUCGUGGCUCCACUGAGGACGUCAGUUUAGACACAUGAUGAUCUCAUGAACAUAAGGGCUAAUAUAGCUUCAGGGGACUAAGGAUAGUGAUAGUGGCUUGUCUCUGUGUGUGUUAGCUCAAGAGGGUGGGCCAGUGGAGUGAGAAGGGACAAGGGUUAAUGAUUUAUCCACAAUGGUGAGGGUAUCAUGUCAAAUUUGUUUGGCCAUUUAAUUCUCACUCACUGAGAACAGUAGUCUCCAUUGAGUUGUGUUGUGAGAGUUUGAUGACAAAUGGAUCUGGUCACAGUUGGAAGACUGCCUUGCCUACAUGUUGAAUACUUAAUGUGCUAACAUGAUCCUGACACUGGUAACAUGAAGCUAUGAGUCUGUCACGAGUUUACAUCUAGAGUGUCAGAAAAACACUUGAGGCUUUCCUCUUGAGAAAACCCUGCUGAAUUGUGGUAGUUUCUUGAUUUUCCUUGAUAAUAAUACUAUAUAUAUAGGUCAUGGCAGUAGUACAAAAAAGUGAAGUUACAAUUUUUUUUUAUCAAAGUUUACAUGGAAAAAUUGCUAGUAAUAUUGCUAGUUUGCCAUUGUAGAUGAAAUGGGCUUUAGUAGUUCUGCAUAUAGAAACAGAUGCCUGUAACUGUACAAUCCUUCCAUAGAAGGCUGAAAGAGAUGUAUUCCAAGUCUAAAGAACAAGCAAGAUAGAUAAAAGGAAUUAUUCCAAUACAAUGGAGAUACCAAGUAGAGUAAAGAUAUCUUGCAUUUGUUCCAUGUCCAGGAAUGUUAUAGUUUCUUGGCCUCGUUUAGCCUCCAUGUCAACUUUACCCAGACAGUAGAGUUGCAUCUUCCAGGAAAAUCUUUCCAGAAUAGACUAAACAUUUUCACUAAGGGUGGCCGAUGAGCUUACUAUGAGGAUGAUUGUUGUGAGACAAAGAUAAAAGAAACUGUUCCUGAAACUGUGUGCCUACGCAAAACCUUACAGCAAUCACAUUAUUUUGUUAAAAUGUAAUUUAAAAACAUUUUGUUCCUCUAGUAAAAGAUAUGAUAUCUGGAUUGCUAUUCUGUCUGACGCAAUAAGAGUUCAUGUGUACAAAUGCCUCCUGCCUGAUUGUCCCUCUCCUUCACAUUAUACAAUCUGUUCUUCUAAUCACUAUCGUUGGGACUUUAAUCCAUUCAUUCCAUUCAGAACAUGCUCACAAACAAUAUCUUGACAACAAUAUAAUAUUAGCCUGUGGUCACAACAUGCUCUGCAUUAAUUCCUGAGUUUAUUGGCCCAGCC
ensembl:lncRNA